GGAUGAAUCUGGCGGGCAAUCUGGCCAUCUAAGGAUUAAUCCCGGUUCGUUCCGAGAUUAUCUUAAAUGUCAUUCAUGUGUCCAAUGACCCAAUUUUGGGAGAGACCAUGUAAUAUGGCGGGGGGCAGAAGCGAAGAUGAUUAGCAGAUAUGGGUAUAGUCGCAGCCAUAUUGCCGAACCACACAGAUGAAGCUAGAAGCCUUAGUUAAGUUUUGUGCCAAAAAUAAAAUAAAAGGCAACCAGGGUCCCAAAACAAUGGGUCGCGGCAGAUUUACUUGGGAGUUUGACUACAUACUUGGCUGAUUUACUUGGGAUUUGGACUACAUACUUCGUUGAUUUACUUAGGAUUUCGACUACAUACAUGAACGAAAGCUUGACGUCACUAGGCUCGCAGCCUACGGUCACAACGGACACCAAUAGCAUACUCCACUCACCUCUCGAAACUGCUCCACCAACCUAUCCCUCUCCCUGUUGACGCCGGCGGACUCUGGGCGCACAUAUCCCUCCAUGCAAGCUGCUGCUGAAACAAGAAUUGGGUUCAA